UACGUAGGGUCCGAGCGUUGUCCGGAAUUACUGGGCGUAAAGAGCUCGUAGGUGGUUUGUCGCGUUGUUCGUGAAAACUCACAGCUUAACUGUGGGCGUGCGGGCGAUACGGGCAGACUUGAGUACUGCAGGGGAGACUGGAAUUCCCGGUGUAGAGGUGAAAUUCGUAGAUAUCGGGAGGAACACCAGUGGCGAAGGCGGCGAUCUGGGCAGAUACUGACGCUGAGGUGCGAAAGCGUGGGGAGCAAACAGG
rnacentral:rRNA from 1 species